CAGCCGCCGCGGGAACACCGGCGGCCCGAGUGGUGAUCGUGAUUAUUGGGUCUAAAGGGUCCGUAGCCGGUUGGUCAGUCCUCCGGGAAAUCUGAUAGCUCAACUAUUAGGCUUUCGGGGGAUACUGCCAGACUUGGAACCGGGAGAGGUAAGAGGUACUACAGGGGUAGGAGUGAAAUCUUGUAAUCCCUGUGGGACCACCUGUGGCGAAGGCGUCUUACCAGAACGGGUUCGACGGUGAGGGACGAAAGCUGGGGGCACGAACCGGAUUAGAUACCCGGGUAGUCCCAGCCGUAAACGAUGCUCGCUAGGUGUCAGGCAUGGCGCGACCGUGUCUGGUGCCGCAGGGAAGCCGUGAAGCGAGCCACCUGGGAAGUACGGCCGCAAGGCUGAAACUUAAAGGAAUUGGCGGGGGAGCACAACAACGGGUGGAAGCCUGCGGUUUAAUUGGACUCAACGCCGGACAACUCACCGGGGGCGACAGCAAUAUGUAGGCCAAGCUGAAGACUUUGCCUGAAUCGCUGAGGGGUGGUGCAUGG
rnacentral:rRNA from 1 species